GUAGGUUAUUGCCAGGGUUUUUAUUUUUAUACUUUAAACUUUGAUUUUAUUUUUAUGUUUUUUAAAUAUUGGUGUUUUUGAAUGUGUUGUUUAAAUAACAUAAAAAAUAAAAUAUAUAUUGACAUGUAUUAAACAAAGAUAUAUAUUAUUUUAUGUUGUAUAAAUAAAUUGGCAAAAUAGAGAUGGAAGAUAAAAAUAAAAACCCUGGCAAUAACCUACUCAAAU
rnacentral:misc_RNA from 1 species